rnacentral:lncRNA from 1 species
CUCUGCCCAUAUUUCUGACUCCAGAGGAAAACACCAAACGCCAUCUGGGACCCUGGUGCACCGGGGCUCCCGGAAAGUGCAGCGCAGGUCCUCCUGGUUGCUGCCCUUGCAGAGAGCUCCUAAGCAACACCCCACGAGCAAACUUGAGCCUCGGGACCACAGGUAAGACCAACUUUUCUGCCCCAAGCGACCUGCCUGGUGAACUCAGGACACAGGCCCACAGGAACAGCUGAAGACCUGUAGAUAGGAAAAACUACACGCCCGAAAGCAGAACACUCUGUUCUCAUAACUGGCUAAAAGAAAACAGGAAAACAGGUCUACAGCACUUCUGACACACAGGCUUAUAGGACAGUCUAGCCACUGUCAGAAAUAGCAGAACAAAGUAACACUAGAGAUAAUCUGAUGGCGAGAGGCAAGCUCAGGAACCCAAGCAACAGAAACCAAGACUACAUGGCAUCAUCGGAGCCCAAUACUCCCACCAAAGCAAACACUGAAUAUCCAAACACACUAGAAAAACAAGAUCUAGAUUCAAAAUCAUAUUUGAUCACGAUGCUGGAGGACUUCAAGAAAGACAUGAAGAACUCCCUUAGAGAAACACAGGAAAACAUAAAUAAACAAGUAGAAGCCUACAGAGAAGAAUCGCAAAAAUCCCUGAAAGAAUUCCAGGAAAACACAAUCAAACAGUUGAAGGAAUUAAAAAUGGAAAUAGAAGCAAUCAAGAAAGAACCCAGGGAAACAACCCUGGAUAUAGAAAACCAAAGGAAGAGACAAGGAGCUGUAGAUACAAGCAUCACCAACAGAAUACAAGCGAUAGAAGAGAGAAUCUCAGGAGCAGAAGAUUCCAUAGAAAUCAUCGACACAACUGUCAAAGAUAAUGUAAAGCGGAAAAAGCUACUGGUCCAAAACAUACAGGAAAUCCAGGAUUCAAUGAAAAGAUCAAACCUAAGGAUAAUAGGUAUAGACUCCCAGCUCAAAGGACCAGUAAAUAUCUUCAACAAAAUCAUAGAAGAAAACUUCCCUAACCUAAAAAAA